AGGGGGGAGAGGCAGGGGAAAACUGCAGAGUGCGAGGAGAAAAGUGCGGUAGAAGCCCGGCCCCGGGUUGGUUUGCGCUAGGUUAUUUUAGCGACAGAAUACCUUCCGAUUAACCGCGACGUUUAGCGGCUGAUUGAUGCGCUGAAUUGUUAGUUUAAAUCGCCGGCUAUCGCUGCUGCCGCGAACGGGGUACGCGAGUCCGGGGGCAUGGAGAGCCGCGGUGCGCGGGGGGGCCGCGCAAAGUUGAUCCUGCCCGGGAAGCCAGCCUGCUCCGCCGGCCGCCCGCGCCCUACGCUGCAAGCGUGGUCUCUUUCCUCUGACAAUUCAUUGUGCUUUUCUAAAAAUUAAUUUUCCAGGGCAUGAAGAGAACGCCUCGUUCGAGCCGUGUUUGGCACCGCUCUUCAUUAAGUGAUCGCCGCUAUCAAGCACGCUGUGGAUGUCUUGGGGGAGAGGCGGGGGGGAAGAGGGGGGAAAUCCCUUUUAGUUUUGCGAUUAGGCUGCCAGGGCUUUGAAAAGGGCUUAAAAACAAAGUCAUGCUCAGCCUUUUGUAGGAGAGAUCCAGAUGUUACGUAGAUUUUUGUUUGCAUGUUCAUUUCGAGCGGAUCUGGCGGUGAGCGCUGUAUUUACGUGUGUAUGUGGCUGGACUUUGCCGUAUAUCGACGUUGCGCUUGUGGAAUGUAUGCUGAAGUAUUAGCUCGGUAAUGCCUUCUAAUGGUAGUGCUAAUUACCGUGGGGUUAUUUAGCAAAUUAAGUGAGAUGAUGCACCCCCCACCCUUGAGCACCAAAUGAACUUUUCCAAACACACACCACGCGCGCGCACACACGCGCGCGCACUCGCGCGCGCACACGCACACACUCACACACACACACUCACACAUACACUCACACACACUCACACACACGCACGCGUUAAUUUUGGUGUGUUUCUCUCGCCCAAUCGCUCCGUCGGAGCCGCAGCAUGCCUUACCUCAGAGCAGUCAAUUACCAAAGCUACCCGGGAUCAUCAAUCAUGGGGGAUGCUUGAAGUUUAGGGGAGGAGCGAUGGUCAAACUAUCGAUUGCUGCAGUUUUGUCCUCCCCAACCCCCCACCCUCGUUCACGGUCCCCUGCACAUAAAAUCUAAAACAGACUAUCCCGUUAAUAGUGGGAUUUAUCAAUGAUUAUGUACCCGGUUGUGAAUGUGGCCUUAUACAUAGAUGGCUUUGAAAAAAACACGGCAGAAAAAUUUUUUUUUUUUUCAGUUAGAGUUUGGUUUGGUUUGCUUUUUGUGAUGAUGACGAGAACUUUAAGGGUAUUUUUUUUUCCCUAAACUUUAAGAAAAUUACUCAAGGGGUAGUUGUAGAUAUUUGGCCUGAUUUUAAUAGGCGUAGGGAAUGAGCUCCAGAGGUCAAUAAACCCCUCCAAAAUGAUGAAUGAUUGAGUACCUGUGAUGAUGAUAGUGAUUACCGGAGCAAUUAAACAGUUUGAUUAAAUGAGCCAUCAUAACAAUGAUGUCUGCGGGAAAUCAGCCCUCACAUAUAAAGAAAGAUAGUGUGGAGGGCUGACAAACGCCAGUGGGCAUUCCUGCGUGUUCCGAUAGCGCCGAGCCCUGCAGAGCAGGGCUGUGUUUACAAAUACGGGGGGAAUAUGGAGAAAAGUCCCUCUCUUACUUUUAGCCAGAGUUGCACCCUGCUUAAAACCCUCCAGAAGCCGGAGACCAGACCCGGGUUGUUUUUGUGGGUUUUUUGUUUUGGUUUGUUUUUUGGGUUGGUUGUGGGGGUUUUCUUGGUUUUUUUUUUUUUUUUUUUUCCUAGAGGAUCUCCUCCAAGAUUAAAGCUAGUCCUAAGAGCAACCGAAUUGCUGUGACUGACUUUCACGGGACUGUAAAGAGAGGUGAGUAAAAAAGCCCUUAGUAUGUAGAUCUCUUUCAAGCAGUGGUUAAGUCGAUUCAUUUCGCAGGGAAAAAGCCAGUCUUCUUGUGCAGUAUUUUAUACUCUGUCGUAUAAAUCGGUAACGUAAUUCAAGAUAUUCAUGGUAAUGAAUGCUUGGCUAAUCCUUUGGGUGCGCGGAGACCUACAGAGCAGUAGGUUAUGCAAAUCCUUUCCUACUUUUACAGCUGUAGUUUUCUAACAGAUUUUUUAAGAGAUCUAGUAAUCGGUGAAUGUUAUCUGGUUGGGUUUUUUUUCCUCCCGCGCCCCCCCCCCCCCCCCCAAAGAUGCCAGAUUUCUAAACUUGCGUGGAAUCAUUUGAUUGUGAUACAGCCAGCUUAGAGGACGGGGUUUAAAUAUUUGUAGCUUCCAAACUUAUUUUUCAACCGAGGCUGUGCAAACCCAGAGCCUUGCCUCUUGAGAUAUACAAGUGUGUCUCAUUUCAGAUAGUUUCGGUAUCACCAAAGAAGAGGUCUUUUCUGGUAAUGUGGCCGCGCAAAAGUAAUCUAGCUCCGUUGAAGGCUCCAUGUAUUUGUUCAGACCUCAAGCUGUGGGAGAAGUUCAUCAGUUUUCUUCUUAAAAAGAAGUUUUUAGAUUACUUGGUUCCCAUAGAAAUCGGCUCAAAAGUCCAAAGAGAAAUGAGGUGUCCGGUAUGGAAGUGCAUCUCAGUCAACAGCCAGCUCCUUUUGCCGAGGCUGGAAAUGGUUUUAACAGGCGGUAAAAUUUCAUCUUGUGGUGUCAAAUUGGGGUCAGUUUGGGGUUAGCGCUCUCAGUGUCCGAGCAGGAGCUGUCCAGCUGUGUGGGGAUUCAUUAAAGGCAAAAGAUCCGUUUCAAGAAAAACAAUACAAAGACAAUCAGAGGGCUAAAGAUCCUCUUCAAAUCGCAUUUUACAAGUGCACCAGAACAAAUAUGGACGCUGAAACCUAUUCCCUUCAAACUCCCAAAUCGGCUUCUUAGCCCUUGGAGGGAGUGAGAGAGAAAAUCCUCUAAAACUUAAGAAGAGUCUGUUUUCAAUCAGCCUUUCCGAAGUGUGGUAUCUCAGUCCUUUGCUGGCUUUGAGACAUGCCUCUCUCGCUCGCUCGCUCUCUCUCUCUCUUUUUUUCCACAGCCUUGCAAAAGCGGAUGGCACAACAGGUAAUAUUUCAGAUUUCAAGAAUAUAUCCCACCGGGCAUCUCAAACCACUGUUUCGUAUGCGCGGGUGCGCCUAGCGCAAGAUUUAAUGCAAACAGAAAGUUUUUUGGGGAAACAAGCCAUGCUUGCACGAAAUCCUAUUGGACCCCUUCGGAAAUUUUCUGCACUCCAUGUAGGCGAUGCUCCGGUCUGAUAGGUAAUUUAGGCUAGAUUUACUUUACGGUUCCUGGUGUUUGUGGAAAGCACCUAUUGCUAAUCUGGUUUAUUAAAUUCGCGUGGUUUAAAUCCUCUUAGCGUCCCUACAUCUGUUAGAACAAUUGACGCCUUGCUACAGGGACAAAUAACUCGAACCUUAAUCUUGUUUGUAACUUUAUUCAAUGUUUGUUUGUUUGUGCGCUGAGUUCAAGUAUUUUUGGAUGAUGCCAUUGUGUUCGGAAGGACACAGGCGACAUUUGCAGGCAGAACUCCCCGUGGACGGGCUAAGGAUAUCGCAGAGCCGGAUGACAAAUUUUUCAUAUUUGAAUUGGCAUUUUAUCUCGACCUAUCGUUCUAGGAAGUGUGUCGUACUUAAUGAAGAAAGCAAUCUGCCUGUUAAAAUGUGGUCGCGGGAUUACAUCACUAUGACCCCGUAGUGAAAUCCACGGGAAUUUUUCUUUUUGUUUGGCUCGCAAGGCGAAGCGUGGGGUGUAAAUAGUACCUUUUCCUUUUCAUAAUCAGGAUUAUGCCACAGUUCAAACUCUUACCCCCGGAAUCGCUCUUUACCAGCCUUUCCUUUGCCUUUACGGUUGGCUCUUACAACUUGAGUCACUUUUUAUUCGUCUCAGCCCAGUUUGAUUCGCCUCUGACUCCCCGCAGGUGCAGGACUCUGGAGGUCCCAUCCCGGGUGCCCCUGUGAAAUCACGCACAUUUUAGCUGCUGCCGAUCCCUGGGUUCAUGUAGCUCCUCGCCCUGAGCCGCCCGCCUGCCAAUAGCGUACCUCGCUUCUCAGCGAUCUAUUAUUUUGCGAAGAUCUUUCCAGUCCGGAAAGUCAAUGGUAGCCCAUCACGGUGAACUUUUCUUGACCUCGGCUGCGGUAUGACUGAGAUCUUUGGGAGCUGGAUUAGGAAGAGGCUCAUUUACCUACCUGUUAACUUCCCUUUUGAAUCCCUUUCUUUCACACACACACACGCCUUUUUUUUUUUUUUUUUUUUUUUUAGGGGAAAAAAACCCAAAACCAACCCAACAAACCCCCCGCGAAGCAAGAGCGACCCGGGGUCUUCCUCCCCGCCGGGCGCCCCUUGUCCCCGCCCCGGGCGCUGGCGGGACGCGCCCCCGCCGCCGGGCCGCACGGCCGUGCCAUCGGCAGCGCUCUAGCGCUACCUGGCGGGGCUCCAGCACCAUCCGCCGCGCCGCGCCGCGCAGACCCCGCGGGGCCCGGCCUGUCGGCCCCGCUCCGCGCCUCCGCCCCCGCGGGGCUCCGGGCCUGGGCUGCUGCGCCCCUCCCCCGGCUCCCACCGGGCGGGUCGAGGGGCGAGGGCACGGUGGGAAGGGGCGCGCAGAUGCGUUCGUCUGGCGUAUCUCACGCGGGCGCGUGUGAAGCGCUCAUGUCAGACGAGAGCUUUUUUUUUUUUUUUUUUUUUUAAUGUCUUAGGCUGGGAGGUUUGUAAAAGUGAAGACCAUAAAGAGCCGACGUGCGUAUUUCCAUCAUAAACCAGAAAGAGAAAAAUACCUGUCAGGGCUUCCCACUAACGCCGUGCCGGCUGCUUCACCGGGGUAGUAGUUAAACACCUAGUUUGCAUUUGUUCGAAGGAGCCCGAAGCAUUAACAAAAUCCAUCUUUCCAAUGUGACAUCAUAACAAAAAGGACAGUUAGGGCAAACUAAAUCGCUUUAGUGCGAUAUCAGAGCAUCCGAGAAGGCACCAAACUCUGCUCGGAGCUUUCUGCUCUCGCUCACUCAAAAUAUUCCCUUUUGUUCUCCAGCUGCCUACAAAACUCCAGAAGAGGAGCGCUCUCAUUUUUACACCGGAGUUCUCGGUCCGGAGAGAACAAUAUCAUCCUACCUCUUUUGAAACGAUACGGAGACUCUCGCAACACACAGGCGAUCACUCGAAGCACGAAUCUCCUUUUUUUUUUUCUUUUUUCUUUUUCUUCUCCCACCCCCCCCCCCCCCCAAGAGUUGCUCGGCCCAUUGUUUGAAGUAGGAUUCAGCGCGCAGCCCAAGGAGAACAGGGAAAAAAAAAUAAUCUUAGGAGUCCGGUUUGGUAUUGCACAGAGAAAGAGCUGGCUGACAAAAUAUUAUAGCGUGUUUCCUAGAAGUAUGUGAUGAGAGCCGGCAUUGUGUUCCCAAAAGAGAGGUGUUUUUUAUCGGUUGGGUUUUGUGUGUGUGUGUGUGUGUCUCCCCCGCCUCCCCCCCCCCAAAGAUUGUGAUCGCCUUUGUACGUCUUUCUUUUGAUCCCACAAAGAGAAUGCAAUAUACAUAUAUGUGUUUGCUCUCCAUACAAGAAAUGCAAGGGACCGUACAAUGGAAUAUACGGCCGGUUAGUCCUCAUAAUGCUUAGUUUUGCUGUAAUUAAUUGAAAACAGUUAUUAGGUCGUCAUUGGCAAUAGCGUAAAUAAUUGCAGCAGAUUUUUACUUAAAAUUGACCGGUCACAGAGUGAUAGAUCGAUUCGAGGUAUAAAAAUGAUGUAUCAAAACAUCAAUGUCGAUUAUUUGAAAUAUUGUAGUCGAAUCUUUUUAUUGCUUCAUCGGUUAAGUGUCUGAAAGUGCUGUGUUCCAACAUAUAUUUAUGUUGUCAAUACUGUCAAAACUGUCAGUUUUAUUACAGUGGAUUUGUAAUACAUUUCGGAUUUGCUCAUUUACAUAAAAUGUCCACCUCAGAUACACCUCCUUUUACCCAUCUCUGGAAAUCUAUGUCAGUCUAAUAAAAGGAUUCAGGAAUCAUACCUGAAGCAAAAGAAAAAAAAAAAAGAACCGGGGGGGGGGGGGGAGCGGAAAGUGGAGCUAUUGCUCCAUUAAGUCCAAUUUAAACAUCCUUUUGGAAAGCUUGGGCUAUUUCUAACUUGCCAUAAGAGGGAAUCCCGCCCCCCCCUCCCCCCCAUUUCCUCAGCAGAAUUUAAACACUUUUCUACCCUCACACCUAGAUUGAACCCUUCAGGAGAACUGAGAAAGUGUACAGGGAGGCAGAGCCGCGCCGCAGCACACCUGGGAGUGCAAAGACCCUCCCGGGGAGAGCGGCAGCCCCCCGAACCGCGCACCCACGCACGGGGGUUUGCGUCCUGCUAGAAAGAAGGAGACAAAAGGAGCAAUAAAUAUGUGUGUGAUCCUUUCUUAACGGUUUGAAGCUCAAAGGCAAAACGCGAAGUGGAAGGAGUAUUGGGCAUUUAAUGCCUCCCGUCCCCAUUUUAUCAGGGUCUGAUCCGGUCUGAUUAUUCGCUUGAACUAUAAGCGCUGAUUCUUUAUUAGCAUGGUCUCAGACACCUCUCUAAUUUUCUUUGAGAGCCCAGCUCAGGGAUGGCAAAGCUAAGGAAUGAAUAAAUACAUUUACACACUAAACUCUCUUCGAUCGAGCAAACAGUGAAAUUAGCCAAGUAACUUCACCCCCCCCCCACCCCCCCCCUUUCGGGAGCAUGAGGUUGUUUUUAAGGCGUUGGUAGGAUGGAGGUGUGGGUUUUUUUCCUUUUUUCUUUCUUUCUUUUUUUUUUUUUUUUUCCCUCCCCCUUCUAGGGAUAUGUAUGUUUAAAGAGAUGCUGAAGAGAUUUCUGAGUUCACGGGGAAGAAGGAAAGGUUGGUUUGGGGAACGACAGCGCGCCUGGCAGGUAUUUUAAUGACCGUCCCUUCCUUUGAACACUUCCCAUUUCUUUGCCUCUUUUCAUCCGGAAUCUCUUCCCCAGACCAAGUAUGAUUUCUGUUGUAAUUCUUGUGUGUGUUUGUGAUCCCUUCUGAGGUAAAUUGAGAAGUAAGCUGCGCAAAAGGAGGAAAUCGCCCCUGGGGUGCUUUGUUUACUUUGGUUUGUAAAAUCCUGCUAGGAGAUGGUUUCCUCAGUGUGUGGCAAGUGUUUCUUCAAGAAAUUCAUCAGCCCUUCUACAAUUACUUGGAGCUCCGAGGGAAGAGAGCUGCCAUCACUUUCUCACAUCCCAAGGUGUUGCAUGGAGGAGAGAAGAAAAGGCUGGAGCAUAUAAUUAUAACGGGGGUGGGGGGUGGGGGUGGGAACGGCGGCUGCAGAAAGCCGUCCCAAGCCUGUACCUGGAAAAGAAAAACCUGCAAGGGUGUAUCUGGGAGACGUGUGCCAUUUAGAGAUGGGGAAAAGUACCCCAUCUUGUGCAGUAAUUAGUCUGAACAAUAAACAUAAUUGGAAUAAAA